rnacentral:rRNA from 1 species
UACGUAGGGUGCAAGCGUUAAUCGGAAUUACUGGGCGUAAAGCGUGCGCAGGCGGUUAUGUAAGACAGAUGUGAAAUGCCCGGGCUUAACCUGGGAACUGCAUUUGUGACUGCAUGGCUAGAGUUUGGCAGAGGGGGGGUAGAAUUCCACGUGUAGCAGUGAAAUGCGUAGAUAUGUGGAGGAACACCGAUGGCGAAGGCAGCCCCCUGGGUCAAGACUGACGCUCAUGCACGAAAGCGUGGGAGCAAACAGG